UGGGGAAUAUUGCACAAUGGGCGCAAGCCUGAUGCAGCCAUGCCGCGUGUAUGAAGAAGGCCUUCGGGUUGUAAAGUACUUUCAGUCGGGAGGAAGGUGGUAAGGUUAAUAACCUUAUCAAUUGACGUUACCGACAGAAGAAGCACCGGCUAACUCCGUGCCAGCAGCCGCGGUAAUACGGAGGGUGCAAGCGUUAAUCGGAAUUACUGGGCGUAAAGCGCACGCAGGCGGUUGAUUGAGUCAGAUGUGAAAUCCCCGGGCUUAACCCGGGAAUUGCAUCUGAUACUGGUCAGGUAGAGUCUUGUAGAGGGGGGUAGAAUUCCAGGUGGAGCGGUGAAAUGCGUAGGGAUGUGGAGGAAUACCGGUGGCGAAGGCGGCCCCCUGGACAAAGACUGACGCUCAGGUGCGAAAGCGUGGGGAGCAAACAGG
rnacentral:rRNA from 1 species